UUCCCAGUCUUAAUAAUGCCAAAGCACAGCAUCCUUAACACACACUUAACCUCUCCAAUACUGCUCCGGAGCACUAUACAACGCUUAGUGUAUCCCAUCAUGCAUCAUGUUUUGGAAUAAAUCGUCAGACUUUUUGCCGAGAUCUCACAAGAGGUCACAGAAAGCUGUCCAAUGUACAGCAUGUGAAAUAUUGAUAAUUAGAUAUUAAAAAUCUCUGUAAACAUAUAAGUGUGUCCCAUAAGGCAGUGGCUCCCAAUCCUGGUCCUGGAGAACCCCAACACUGCACAUUUGAGAUGUCUCCCUGAUCAAACACACCUGAUUCAACUCAUCACCUCAUCAGUGAAGACUCCAAGGCCUCAAAAAGAGACACCAAAACCGUGCAGUGCUGGGGUUCUCCAGGAUCAGGAUUGGGAAACACAGUCAUCAGGUCAUGAAAAGUUCGACACACACUUAUGGUCAUCAUGCUCACUCAAGUGACUUACUGCUGCAAAUGUCUGCCUCCGCAGCUUUCUGCCUUCUCCAUUUCUGAAGGAAUACCUCUCCAGAAAC